rnacentral:rRNA from 1 species
UACGUGAGGUGGCGAGCGUUUAUCCGGAAUUAUUGGGCGUAAAGAGCGCGCAGGUGGUUGAUUAAGUCUGAUGUGAAAAGCCCACGGCUUAACCGUGGAGGGUCAUUGGAAACUGGUCGACUUGAGUGCAGAACGAGGGAAGUGGAAUUCCAAUGUGUAGCGGUGAAAUGCGUAGAGAUAUGGAGGAACACCAGUGGCGAAGGCGGCUUCCUGGUCUGUAACUGACACUGAGGCG